CCCGCAUAUCCAGGGAACCCCUGGAAAGAGUGCUUCACUUCUCAGUCCUUUGAAUAACCGUUCUGCUCGAAUUAAAGAUCCUGUUUCAUCACUUCCUUUAUAUUAGUUCAUGUGACGCUUUCUCCUACAAGGAAAUUUGUAUGAUGUGGGGACUGAAUCGCUAUGCGACUCAUUACAGCAUCCGAAUCAAAAAUCUGAGACGACCUAAUAGACUGCCGUUGAAACUGUUGCAACUGCGGGCCAAGCCGGACGUAGUCCACAUGCAUAUCAAAGAUGCAGCCCGUUUGCUGCCGGGUUGCUGAUUGAAAAAAUUACGUUGAAACAGGGAGCAGUACCAUGUGUAUUCGAUGCUCAUCGUUUCAGUGCGGUCAAUGCUUUUCUUCUUUCUGAGAUACAAUUGGUGAAAUACAAAUCUUGUUGCGUAGUGCCUACGUCCUCAACAAAGGUGGCAACAAAAAGUCCGCCAGAGGGAUGCAGGAAACACACAAUGCCGCUGCAACAACGAUAUUGGUUAAAAAUAUUCUAAAACAGACGGUCAUAAUACUUAAUAUAGUAUAGCUAAGUCUUUCGCCGCGCUGGUCAAUGAAGUGAGUUCGUGGAAAACUUGGAUAUCAGAC
rnacentral:sRNA from 1 species